AGUGGGAUAGCUGGGUCAAAUGGUGGUUCCAUUCCUGAUUUUCCAAGAAAUCUCCAUACUGCUUUCCAGAUUGGCUGCACCAAUUUGCUGUCCCACCUGCAGU
rnacentral:pre_miRNA from 1 species